rnacentral:tRNA from 1 species
UUAAUUGAAGCCAAAAUAGAGGCCUAUCACUGUUAAUGAUAAAAUUGAGUAAUAACUCCAAUUAAG